UUACAUGCAAGCUCGAACGGACAAGCUAAGAGCUUGCUCUUAUGAGUUAGUGGCGCACGGGUGAGUAAUGUAUAGUUAAUCUGCCCCUUAGUGGAGGACAACAGUUAGAAAUGACUGCUAAUACUCCAUACUCCUUCUUAACAUAAGUUAAGUCGGGAAAGUUUUUCGCUAAGGGAUGAGACUAUAUUGUAUCAGCUAGUUGGUAAGGUAAUGGCUUACCAAGGCUAUGACGCAUAACUGGUCUGAGAGGAUGAUCAGUCACACUGGAACUGAGACACGGUCCAGACUCCUACGGGAGGCAGCAGUAGGGAAUAUUGCUCAAUGGGGGAAACCCUGAAGCAGCAACGCCGCGUGGAGGAUGACACUUUUCGGAGCGUAAACUCCUUUUGUUAGGGAAGAACACUGACGGUACCUAACGAAUAAGCACCGGCUAACUCCGUGCCAGCAGCCGCGGUAAUACGGAGAGUGCAAGCGUUACUCGGAAUCACUGGGCGUAAAGGACGCGUAGGCGGAUUAUCAAGUCUCUUGUGAAAUCUAACGGCUUAACCGUUAAACUGCUUGGGAAACUGGUAAUCUAGAGUAAGGGAGAGGUAGAUGGAAUUCUUGGUGUAGGGGUAAAAUCCGUAGAGAUCAAGAAGAAUACCCAUUGCGAAGGCGAUCUACUGGAACUUAACUGACGCUAAUGCGUGAAAGCGUGGGGGGCAAACAGGAUUAGAUACCCUGGUAGUCCACGCCCUAACGAGUAACUGGUUGUGCUGNGCUAGUCANGGCNUAUCCCNUACGAUUANUNCCNCNGGGGNUCGUCCANAUNAACUNAGGAUAACGGGCCCCCANCGNGNCNUGGUUAUNNAAUCCNAAACUNCAG
rnacentral:rRNA from 1 species